rnacentral:rRNA from 1 species
ACACUGGUACUGAGACAGGACCAGACUCCUACGGAGGCAGCAGUGAGGAAUAUUAGACAAUGGGCGAAAGCCUGAUCUAGCCAUGCCGCGUGCAGGAUGACGGCCCUAUGGGUUGUAAACUGCUUUUAUACAGGAAGAAAAAACUCUACGUGU